GGCAUACACGCCGCCCGGGGACGAGGCGUAGAGGCUGCGGCUGGUGCUGGGGCGCAGCGCGCUGCCCAGGCUGUAGGUGCGGGUGGACGUAGUCACGUAGCUCCGGCUGGAGCUCGGCCGGCUCGCGGUGCCCGGGCCGCCGAACAUCCUGCGGUAGGAGGACGAGGACACGGACCUGGUGGACAUGGCUGCGGAGGGUGGCGAUGGCCUGGGCGGCGGCGGUGGCGCGGACUGGCUCCCGGAGAAGAGGCGAACGAGGGCGCGAUUUUAAAAUAGAGCAUGCUUAAUAUACUUCAGAUGUCUGCAAGGGGAACAGCAGCAAAUACCACAGUCCCAUGACAGCAAAGCUCCCUUUGGAUGACAUAGAUUUAUUACUUAGUAGUAUAUUAUGUAUUGGCUGUCCCACAUUUUGAAAUUUAAUGGACUCGUGGUGAUCAGAAUAAAAGAAGCCUUCGAUGUGAGGCCCAGGCAUUGAGUACCAUGUGUGCGAUUCACAAGCCUUGGCAUCUGAACAAUUUUUUGGAAGGAUCCAUCAGGACAACACGUCGGGGGUGUACUAGUGAAGUGAUUUUCCAAAUGUGCUACUCAGACCUGUAGCAUCAGCAUCACCGGAUAAUUUGUUAGAAAUUCCAACUGUUAGGCCCCACUUUAGACCAACUGAAUGUGAAACUCUGGGAGUACGUGGGGCCCAGCAAUUUGUGUUUUUACAAGACUUACCAGGUGAUUCUGAGAACCACUGUGCUAGUGAAUUGUUCCUGUCUGUGGCCACGUAGAAUAAGAAAACCAUAGGGUUGGAAAAUGGGGAAACUGGUGAGUGUUCGCUUAUGAGGAAAUGAAGAAUAGAUAGAAAAGAAUUAGUUAACUUUUGGAAUUCAAAAGAGAAGCAGUUUGUAAAAGCCAGGAAUUUGAUUUGAAGGACUAAUUGCUUGCAGAAUCUUUGCUUUCUCAGAGAGGGGCAAUCCAGAUCACUAGGUUACCGUGAAAUAUGUUGGUAUGGCUCUAAAAUUCUAGAAUAAUCUCUCUAGUGAGAAAAGGCAUACCUUUCCAUAUUAGGACAAAACUUCAAAUCAGGUUUGUAAAAUCCUAUAAGAUUAUUGUAUCCCAUUGCCAUGGCCAACUUGUUUGUCUCUGGAGAUCCCAGUUUCUACAUCUGAAAACCAUAUGCAUUCCUGCUCACCAGGAAUUAUCUCGCUGAAUGAAGCAAGAGAUUCAGGAUGUGUAAGAGAAUUUAUGAAGCAUUUGGAUUACCAAGAAAUGUGAAGUAUAAAGAUCAAGAAUGAUUAUUACAAACACUGAUGGUAAAGAGGUGUUUCGAAGUCGAUGCAAAAAAUGAGUUGCUUAUUUCAGUCUCUCUUUGAUAUAUCUGCCUUUUUAGUGCUGACUCUAUCAUGUAUUCACUAUUUGAUUUUCAGUGAAUCACAUUUUUUAAAGCUUUUAAUCUGUUUCCUCAAAAAAUAUAUUUUUUAAAAAUAUUUACUCAGGAUUGUUGUGAGAAUAAAAUUGAUUCGAUUGAUAUUUCAAAAAAGAAAUAUAUUUUUAAAAAAUAAAGCAAUACCAUUUUU
rnacentral:lncRNA from 1 species